AUGGUGGUGGGAGAGGAUUUCCCCUCUAUUAGGCGCCUUGGUCGAUACCCCGAUUUUUGGAAUCCACCACAAACUCCUUCAGAUAUCCUGCCUUCACUAGCUGCCCUAGAUGGUCUUUCAGCACCUGACAUUGCUUGGUGGUAUGACCCUUAUCCUUGUGAUACGUACAAUACAAGCUUUGGUUUCAUCGAGAUGGAUCUUUUAGGGGUCAGGACUGAAAUUCGGGCUGCUAAGGGCGAUUCAUUAAUGGAGCCUUGCCCUUACUUUGCAGCCAAUCAUCUUCGAGACGCUUGGGAGACCUUAGUUUCCCCCAGCCAAAGGUUCGAGUUGGGUUUCUUCUCUCUUGGUAAUUCCAGGAACCUGUAUCUGGGUGUAUGGUAUAAAAAAUUUCCACGUACCAUUGUAUGGGUUGCCAACAGAUCAAGAAAUCCCACUUCCAGAUUCAUACGGAGCUUUGACUUUGGCUGAAAAUGGAAAUCUCAUCAUUACAGACCAAAAUAAUCACACUGCUUGGUCCUCCAAUUCUUCAGGAGCAGAAAUGCCCAUCGCCCAGCUUUUAGAGUCUGGAAACUUUGUGGUUAGAGAGAAGGCUAAUACUAAUACUGAAAGUUUCUCCUAUAUAUGGCAAAGUUUUGAUUUCCCAUCAGACACCUGGCAUGAAGAUGGGUUGGAAUUUUAGGACUGGUCUUAACCGAUUCUUAACGUCUUGGAAAAAUGCUACUGACCCUUCUAGGGGGGAAUUUACUUACACAUUUGACAAUCUGGGGUUGCCUCAACUUGUUUUUCGCAAGGGAUCAGAGAAGAAGUUUCGCACUGGUCUGAGGAAUGGACAACAAUUUAGUGGUGCUGUUACGAUCAUAAACCCAGUUUUUAAGCCCAGUAUUGUGUAUAACAAGGAUGAAUUGUAUUACAUGUAUGAGGCUACUGAUAAUUCUAUUGUUACAAAAGUUACUUUGACUGAGUCGGGUUUAGUCCAACGUCUUUUGUUGAAUGAAGGGAGUGGCGAAUGGGGUGUAAUGUAUUCUAUACCGAAUGAUCUCUGUGAUGAUUAUGCACAGUGUGGCGCUAAUGGAAUUUGUAAAAUAAGCAAAAGGCCAAUUUGUGAGUGUUUGAAGGGAUUUGUUCCAAAACAUCAGAAGGAGUGGGAAGUGCUUAAUUGGACUGGUGGUUGCAUGAGAAGGCUACCACUGACAUGCCAGAAGGGAGAAGGGUUUCUGAAACUUGAAGGAGUGAAAUCGCCAGACUUGGUCCAGUUUUGGUUGAACACAAGCACGAGCCUUAAAGAAUGUGAGUCAGAGUGCUUGAAGAACUGCUCUUGUACGGCUUAUGCUAACUCAGAUAUUAGAAAUAGAGGCACUGGUUGUUUGAUGUGGUUUGGUGAUUUAAUUGACAUAAGAGAGUUCGAUGAGAAAGGGGAACAGGCUAUUUAUAUUAGAGAGGCAGCUUCAGAACUAGGAAAAAGAACCAAGGAAGAUUUGGACAUACCAUUGUUUGAUUUUGUUACCAUUGUGAGGUCAACAAAUAACUUCUCUGGCACAAAUAAGAUAGGAGAGGGCGGUUUUGGUCCUGUUUACAAGGGUGAGCUAUUAUUAGGACAAGAAAUAGCAGUGAAGAGGCUCUCAAAUAGUUCCAACCAAGGUCUUGAAGAGUUUGUGAAUGAAGUUAUUAUGAUAUCCAAACUUCAACAUCGGAAUCUAGUUAAGCUUCUGGGCUGUUGCAUUGAAGGAGAAGAAAGGAUGCUAAUCUAUGAGUAUAUGCCCAACAAAAGUUUGGACUAUUUUAUUUUUGAUCAGAAUGGGAGAGCAUCAUUGGAUUGGCAGAAGCGCUUUCAAAUUGUCACGGGAAUUGCAAGGGGACUACUUUAUCUCCAUCAAGACUCCAGAUUAAGAAUUAUUCAUAGGGAUCUCAAAACUAGUAACAUUUUACUUGAUCAUGAAUUGAACCCCAAAAUUUCAGACUUUGGUAUAGCAAGAAUCUUUGGAGGGGAUCAAAUGGAAGCAAAAACAAAGCGAGUAAUUGGGACAUAUGGAUACAUGUCUCCAGAGUAUGCAAAUGAUGGAAAAUUUUCAAUUAAAUCAGAUGUCUUUAGUCUUGGCGUACUAAUGUUAGAGAUACUCAGUGGCAAAAAGAACAGGGGGUUUUCCCAUCCAGAUCAUCACCAUAAUCUUUUGGGGCAUGCUUGGCUUCUGUGGAAUGAAAACAAAGCUUUGGAGAUAAUGGAUCCAUGUUUGAAGGAAUCAUAUGUUAAAUCUCGAGUGCUAGGAUGCAUUCAAGUGGGUCUACUAUGUGUUCAGAAACUUCCAGAAGAUAGACCAGCAAUGUCAUCAGUGGUUUACAUGAUGGGAAAUGAGGGGCCACCACUUCCUCAGCCUAAACAGCCUGGUUUCUUCAUAGAAAGGAGUUCCAAUGAUACAGAUGUGUCAACAAGUGUAGAAGGAUGCCAUACUGAAAGUGCACUCACUAUAACAGUGACGGAAGCGAGAUAA